rnacentral:rRNA from 1 species
UACGUAGGGGGCAAGCGCUGUCCGGAUUUAUUGGGCGUAAAGAGCGUGUAGGCGGCUUGGUAGGUCCGCUGUGAAAACUCGAGGCUCAACCUCGAGAUGUCGGCGGAAACCACUUGGCUAGAGUCCGGAAGAGGAGAGUGGAAUUCCUGGUGUAGCGGUGAAAUGCGCAGAUAUCAGGAAGAACACCUAUGGCGAAGGCAGCUCUCUGGGACGGUACUGACGCUGAGACGCGAAAGCGUGGGGAGCGAACAGG